GUGGAGGCAGUGCCGAGGCUCUCGGGGCUUCUGUUCCGUCACCGCGAACGCCUGCCCCUCCCCCGGGGACCCGCCUGGCGGACGAACUGCCCCGCACCUGCCCACGACCCUCCUUCCCUCCCUAGCCCCGGGCGAGGCGAGGCAGGCGGGUGGGGGAGGCCCCGAGAAAGCCAGCUUACGGCUGGUGCUCAAGAAAUGUUUGCUACUUUUGAAAGUUGAUGCUUCUUGAAUGCUACGUGCCAGACUGUAUACUCCUGUUGGGCAGGGAGGCCCAUCUAUCCAGGAGGCAGCCAUGGCAGCCAGCACCGGGGUCGGGAUUAGAGUCCCUGAGGACCUGCUCUGGCUCUGCUGCUGAGAAGCUGUGUGACCUGGAGAAAAUUACUUACCCUCCCUGUGUACCCUCGAACUACCUCUCAGGGUGGCCAUGAGAAUUAGCCCCGCAGCAGUUACCUGCUGUUAAGCUUUUCAACAAACAUCUAUUGGACUGAAGAUGCCCUCAGCCUGGCCUGAGCCAGCUUCCAGGCGGCAGCUUCCUCAGUUUUAUCCUGGACUAUCUGCAAAAGCAAACUGUGAGUCUAAGAAGCACAGUCACACAGCAAGCACAUGGCUUCUGCAAACAGUGACCACAGCUGCACACUACAGGGAAGUCUUUGCUUUUGUACACAGUGAUAAUGAUUCCCGUCAAUAAAAACCAUAAUUUACACAAAGAACUGA